UCGAAACUGGUCCGCUGAAACUGGUCUGCCGGAAUUGGUUCACCGGAACUAGUCUGCCGGAAUUGUAGAGAGAUUUGUUUGUUGUUGAAGAAUGAAAGAAGAAGAGAUAGAAAAGAAAAAAAAAAGAAAGAAGAAGAGAAAAAAAGAGAUAGAGAAAAAUAAAAGAAAAUAGAGAAAGUUUGAGUAGAGGAUAAAAUUGUCAUUUGCAUGAGUUAAAAGUGGGUCCUAUGGCAUUUUAAAGAAGAUUGAAUUGAAAGUGGCAUUUCAUAUAAGAAAUGACACUGUUCAUGGCAUAGGAUAUAAUUUUCUCUU
rnacentral:lncRNA from 1 species